rnacentral:rRNA from 1 species
ACCCUCUGUUUACAAUACCUUUGUUGCUUUGGCGGCCCCGUCGCAAGACAACCGGCUCCGGCUGGUCAGCGGCCGCCAGAGGACUCAAAACUCAUAUUAUCUUUGUCGUCUGAGUACUAUAUAAUAGUUAAAACUUUCAACAACGGAUCUCUUGGUUCUGGCAUCGAUGAAGAACGCAGCGAAAUGCGAUAAGUAAUGUGAAUUGCAGAAUUCAGUGAAUCAUCGAAUCUUUGAACGCACAUUGCGCCCCCUGGUAUUCCGGGGGGCAUGCCUGUUCGAGCGUCAUUACAACCCUCAAGCUCUGCUUGGUAUUGGGUGUCACCCCCGGGUGCGCCUUAAAAUCAGUGGCGGUGCCGUCUGGCUUCAAGCGUAGUAAUACUUCUCGCUCUGGAGUCCGGGCGAGCGUCCUGCCAAAACCCCCAAUAAUUUUUCAGGUUGACCUCGGAUCAGGUAGGGAUACCCGCUGAACUU